UGGGGAAUCUUGCGCAAUGGACGAAAGUCUGACGCAGCGACGCCGCGUGGGUGAAGAAGGCCUUCGGGUUGUAAAGCCCUGUCGAACGGGACAAAUGGUUUAGAUAGUAACUGAUCUAAGCGUGAUGGUACCGUUAGAGGAAGCACCGGCUAACUCUGUGCCAGCAGCCGCGGUAAUACAGAGGGUGCUAGCGUUGUUCGGAAUUAUUGGGCGUAAAGGGCAGGUAGGUGGUUUGAUAAGUCUGCUGUGAAAUCCCUGGGCUUAACCCAGGGCUUGCAGUGGAUACUGUCGGACUAGAGUGCCGGAGGGGUGCGUGGAAUUCCGAGUGUAGCGGUGAAAUGCGUAGAUAUUCGGAGGAACACCAGAGGCGAAAGCGGCGCACUGGACGGUAACUGACACUCAACUGCGAAAGCGUGGGGAUCAAACAGG
rnacentral:rRNA from 1 species